rfam:Asian citrus Psyllid, Diaphorina citri - Florida Strain, whole genome shotgun sequence.
GCGCUAGUUAGCAUAGUUGGUACUGCGUCUGCCUUGUAAGCGCUAAGGCCGCGGGUUCGAUUCCCGCCCGGGGCG